UACGUAGGGUGCGAGCGUUAAUCGGAAUUACUUGGCGUAAAGCGUGCGCAGGCGGUUCGACAAGUCCGAUGUGAAAGCCCCGGGCUCAACCUGGGAAUGGCAUUGGAAACUGGCGGGCUGGAGUGUGGCAGAGGGGGGUGGAGUUCCGCGUGUAGCAGUGAAAUGCGUAGAGAUGCGGAGGAACACCGAUGGCGAAGGCAGCCCCCUGGGCUGACACUGACGCUCAGGCACGAAAGCGUGGGGAGCAAACAGG
rnacentral:rRNA from 1 species